GAGGAAUGUAUAGCAAUAGCUACUUGCAUCAUUGUAGAUAUGAUGUAAGAUCGACUAUGUUGAAUAAAAUUCUAGGUAGAAUUAUGAUAAUGACAUUGUCUGCCUAUGUGUCUUGACCAAAUUACGUGCCAGCAGUCGCGGUAAUACGUAGAAGACUAGUGUUAUUCAUGUUUAAUCGGUUUAAAGGGUACCUAGACGGUAGAUCAAGCUUUCUAAUAAAUGAAAAGGACUAAUUUACUAGAGUUACUUAUGAGGGGGUAUUAAAGUACUGCUGGUGUAGAGAUGAAAUUCUGUCAUACCUCUUUUCAAAAGAAAAACCAUGGCACAGGUAUAGGCGAAGGCAUCCCCUUAUGUGAUAACUGACGUUGAGGGACGAAGGCUUUGUGUAGCGAACAGGAUUAGAUACCCCAGUAGUCGAAGCAGAAAAUGAUGAAUGUCAUAGAUUAGAUGUAUAAGUUUAUUCUAUAAAUGAAAGUGUAAGCAUUCCACCUCAUGAGUAAUUUGGCAACAUUGGAACUGAAAUCAUUAGACCGUUUCUGAAACCAGUAGUGAAGUAUGUUGUUUAAUUUGAUGAUCCGCAAAAAACCUUACCACAAUUUGAAUAUUUAUAUUUUUUUUAUUGUUUUUUUCUUAAGAGAUAAAUAAUUAAAGAAAAAAAUCAAAAAAGGAAGAAAAUUAAGAAAGAGGCAAUAAGAUAUAUUUACAAGCGUUGCACGGCUGUCUUCAGUUAAUGUCGCGAGACUUUGGUUAGUUCCAUUAAAUUAACGUAAACCCUUACUUUAUUUUUAUAUAGAGUAGUUCCCCGCUAUAUUGGAUAUGAU
rnacentral:rRNA from 1 species